AUGUCCACGAAAGCGGAGUCCAGGGUGUCCAGCUCCAGUUCCAGCUCCAGAACCGAUGAAAGGAAGAGAUCGAGCAGUACAGGUCGAGAAAAAACGAAACGGAAACGCAGUCGCAGUAGGUCUUCCUCGUCGUCCUCUUCUAGGUCAUCAUCAUCAUCUUCGUCCUCGUCGUCCUCUUCUUCGUCGGGCUCGUCAAACUCAUCCAGCAACAGUCGGAGUAGCUCUAGCAGUAGCGACUCUCACAGUAAAUCCAGAAAGCAGUCUAAGAAAAGGAAAAAGGAGAAACCCAAAAAAGUAUUUUCUUUGUUCUCAUGCAUAAUUGACACACGUUUUCAGUUAGAGUUGAAUUGUUUAUUAAUUAAAGCAAUUAAAAAACUAAAUUAUACUUCUUCUGUUUCCUUCAGCAGAAAGUUAAGAAGGAAAAACGACACAAACGUAAAAAGGACAAGAAAGCAAAAGGAGGAGAGGAAAACACGGGACCUGUACAAAUCUCCAAGUACUUGAAGGACAAGAAGAAGGGCAAGUACAGCAUGAUUUCAGGGAAGAAGAUAAAAAUGAAAGUAAAGAAGUCGAAAAAAGACAAACAGGUAAUCUCAAAUGGUUGAUGUGAAGUA
ensembl:lncRNA